rnacentral:rRNA from 1 species
CGUUCCCGGGUCUUGUACACACCGCCCGUCACACCACGAGAGUUUACAACACCCGAAGUCGGUGGGUAACCCGCAAGGGAGCCAGCCGCCGAAGGUGGGUAGAUGAUCGGGGUG